rfam:Daphnia pulex DAPPTscaffold_410_Cont9405, whole genome shotgun sequence.
GGGGUUGUAACUCAGACGUAGAGUGCUCGCUUCGCAUGUGAGAAGACUGGAGUUCAAUCCUCCGCAACUCUA